CUGCGACCUCUCUCUUUCCUCGUCUCCCGCUCCACCGCCGCCGCCCCAUCUCCCGCUCCACCGCCGCCGCCCCAUCUCCCGUCUCCAGUCGCAGCCGCCGCCGCACCCCAAUCCAACCCCGCCGCCGACGAUCUCCUCGCCCCCCCUGCGCCGCCGCCCCCAACCUUCUAUUCCUCUCCCAAGGGAAUCCCAUGGGAAGGGAAGGGAAGGCAAGGGAAGGGAAGGAAGGAAGAGGGAGCGCCCAGAUCCACGGCGGCAUCAGCGCGCCGUCGUCGACCUGAUCCGCGUCCGUCCUCGAGGGAGGUCUGCCAUGGAGGUCCGACCCGGCCCGGCAGCAGCCAUGGACGGACGGAGACGCCCCAAACCCUACCCUCAAGGACGACGCCUCAACCUUCAAGGACGCGCGCCGGCGACCGCGGAUCUCCGGUGAUGGCUAUGGAUGACUGCCCCUCUGGACGAACGACCUGCAGAUGCAGCAACGCACGAGUCCUCCCUCCCUCCCUCAUGGCUCUGCUUCCUCCUACCCUGCCCCCCUCACGUGGGCGUGGUCCCACAAAUAGAAGCGUUGCUCAUAUGCUCCUGAAUCAAGUUUGCAGUAUGAUGGAGUUUACAGAAUUGAGAAUUGUUACAUAAAGAUUGGUGUUCAGGCACUGUGGAGCACAGGGAAGGAGGACAAGGAUGAAGGAUUUAGUCUGUCUAAAUCAUGGGCAGAUCGGGCACUGUGGAGCACAGGGAAGGAGGACAAGGAUGAAGGAUGGGAUGUGUGUAGAAUUUGGCGCCAAGGGAGAUGAUCGAGAUGGUGGAGGAGACACCACUCAAGCCCAUCGAUCCAAUUGCCGCACAUAAACCUGCUGAGCCGACAUCGACGCCAAGUGUGGCGAUGCCACUUCCGAUGAUCGGGAGGGUUCAUUCCAGCUCAUUGUGGUAAUCUGCAGAAAUCAAGUUAACAAAUCUUAAUUGAAGUAUAUGUUUCUAAAUUUUCGGUGGUGAUUUUUUUGUGACUAGACGAAAUCAAAACUGAAGUAUGUAUUCUGAAUUUUGCUCAUAUGACUAGAUGCAUAUGAACUGAAGCUCCGUCAUUCUUUCUAAGGUGAUAGUGGUCGCAACCAGUUAAGAUUAGGGGCUUUAAAGGAACUAUAAAAAAUAUGUGAACUGCUGGCAAUGUCGAUGUAAACACGGGCAUUUAACCAACAAAUUUUGAUUUAACUAUAACUAUCUGUUGACACAAGGCUAAAAAAGAGUAGAAUUGAUCUGUAAGCAAUUCUUCUUGAGAUAGAGACUUUCUGGGUAGUUUGCUACAAGUAUAUAACCUGGAACUUCAGUUCGAGAUAUACAACCGGCAAUCUGAGAUCACUAUGACAAUCUAGAUAGGUUAGCAAAAUCUCUUAGGCGGUGAGACUUAUGCAAGUAGCUAAGACUACAAAUAGAUGAGUGUUGGCCAUGAUUAGCAGCACCACAUCAGGAGGGCAUUCGUCCUAGAAGUGUGGUCAGGGCCGACUGGGGAUGAUUAUUUUUUCGUGGGCAAGGUAUGAUUGAACACAGGUGAGUGUCUUCUCAACUUGGUGUUGCUUCUAAUGUGUUGGACACUGAUCCAAUUUUGCGGCGAGCUGAGAUGCAUCUUUGAAAAUCUCUUGAGAGGUGUGAAUUAGUCCAAGCCUAUGCAGAAUGCCUACAUAUGCCACUUGAACUUUGGAGGGGUAGACUGAUGGAUCGUUGGGCUGGGAUGAAGUUACAUAUAGUGUGUUUUGUCAUGAGAAGAAAUGCAAACGAAAACACAAUUACAUUACAUUGUUAAUGUAUAUGGUAUGAAAAAAACGGAACUUGUUUUACUAAUUGGAGUGUAAUGUAAUCGACUACACUACAGAACUCAGCACGUGUUGAUUAACCAAAAAGAUAAGGAGAGGCCCCAUAUGCCCCCUGAAGGGCUGUCUCUGCUAUGCCGAUGGAGACCUUGAGGUCAAUGGCAUGUUGGUGGAGACAUGGCAAAGCUGACCGGCUUGUCAUCCCUGUCGUGGCUACAGGAUGGAUCCACCGAGUUUGUGAUUUUUAUGGAAAAAAACAUGAACGUAGCGAUUGCAUCAAUAGAAUAUUUUGGUCCUUUGGUUCCAAAUACCCAUAUUUAGUUGGACAACUGCAAAUUCAGACUAUACUGCUUAUGUGCAGUAUAACGCCCUGACUCCGAACUCUUGAUUUGCUGCCAAGUAACACCAAAUUGUCGCAUGUAUAAUGUUCCAAAAUUGUAGGUGUAGUACUACUUCAGCGAUGAGGAUCUUAUGAUGGGUGAGUGCAUGUUCAAAUUUGUGAACAGGAACAAGGAUGGCUUUGGUAAGUACUGCGCCAUUGUUUUAGGACAUACAUGUAAAAACAACACUCUGAAUCGUGGUGCUCACAAGUUCAGAUUCUUGGUUGUUGUGUAGGGAUGCUCCUGAUCUUAUUUGUUUUGGCAACAUAUCGUAAUCUUACCCAGUUGGAAUAAAGGGACGAGAUUGUUCUUUCAGCAUGACGAUCUACAAUUCAUCAUAUGAAAACCUUUGUACUUGGAUAUUGUUACAGGCUUGGUGGCAGGAAAGUAGAGCUUUAGAUCGAGGUCCAACACACAAAUCCCAACUUGUUUACUAUUGACACUAGCCAUCGGCCCUCUAAUCAUAUCUUAACAUGCUUGCUCUUCAUCUAUUAAAGAUAGAUUCUUGCUUCUUAUUCAUCUCUUUAAAUACCUUUUUUUUCUAAUUUGUAACUCUUCUUACCUAUUUUUGGCAGAGGUACAAUGGUUAUUGACUUGUAUUAUCUAUUUCUGACCCAACAAAUCUAAUAUGCAAGGAUAACAAUAAAAUCAGAAUGAUCAAAAGUCAAAACACAUGUGCAUGCUUCAUGAGUUAUGUAUACUUCUGAAUCUAUUUUUACCUCUACUAUCUGAUAUGUUGAAUAGUGCAUGCUCUGCUCUUGCAUGCCACAUCUGCCUGUACUAUGCUGUUAUUUAUGAUUUCGGGGGACUAAUGUCUUGAUUAUAGGAAGUGGAGAGGAAAACCCCUGAUCAGUAGGGAGUACAUGAUAACGUGGUCCAGCUCACCAUCGUAGGCUGCAGGCUGGUUUGGUAACAAGCGGAGACAAACUAAGGAAAAGGUGCCAACGAUGGAGGUGUGUGUGCGCCCACUUCGCCCAUUUGGGUACACGUGGAAGACCUUGCCACUAAGAGCUUCUUGCAGGGGCAAGAGGUGAACUGACGCUGAGUGUUGUGAUCCGUGGGGAGUAGUGUGAGGUGUCCAGUGAAGGGACAUGAUUCAGGCAAGUAACUGUUACUAUAGGAAAAGUCCCUUUAUACACUGAAGUCCCUUUAAAGUGAUGUGCAUAGCAAAGUAAAAUAGGAAAAGUUUAACCUUUGUUUUAGUUAGCCUUGGCGCAGUGGUAAAGCUGCUGCCUUGUGACCAUGAGGUCACGGGUUCAAGUCCUGGAAACAGCCUCUUACAGAAAUGUAGGGAAAGGCUGCGUACUAUAGACCCAAAGUGGUCGGACCCUUCCCCGACCCUGCGCAAGCGGGAGCUACAUGCACCGGGCUGCCCUUUUUCUCAGCUAUACUAUAUUUGGUUUUCCUUUAUGUUUUCUGAGGUCGCAAAAGCCUUUGUAGCGAUCAAAGAUGAGGAGCAACAAUCAUUGUUAUUGCACCAUGUGUAUUUUUCCUCACUUCUAAAUAAUAAAUUCAAUACGGUAUCAUCUUUCGUGGUAGGUGAGAACCACAUUAUCUGUAAAUUGGGCAAUUUCAUAGAUUUGCAAAGGUUUUAAAAUUGUGCCAAGUGAUGCAACACUAGAUGUUGGACUGCUGUAACAACAAGGAUGCUACAAGAGGUCUUUGUCAAAAAAAAGGAUGCUACAAGAGGUGCUUAAGGAGGCACACACACCUUUGUCGAAGAGGAUAAAAGCGGGAGAGACGACCAAUCCUUACCGUUAUAUAAGUGGAUCAAUAUACAUAGAAGCUACAUGCCAUCAUGUUCAGUACAUAUUUUGGAAUUAAAAAAUGUUUGAUUAGAAUUUUGUUUUUCUGUGACAACGCAUGGGCAUGUAUGUGAUGACCUAGAAGUACUAUAUUUGUGUCUGCAAAAUUAUGGUUACCCAUAAAAUCGUAUGCUUAUUCA